CGCCCGCCGUGCGCAGCGCGCCCAGCCGCCCCAGCACGAUCAGCUUCACGUUGUUGUCGCUCUCCUUCACAAUCAGGUCGAUGUAGCACGCGGCCGCCGCCUGUUUAUAUGAGCUCAACGAUGACCAGCUGCAGGAUGUCUCCAAAGCCGUGCACCUGGUCGAGGCGCGCGGCGAGAUACUGGUGCGCGCGCUCUUGCUCAGCAUGAAGCAACAUAAGAAAGGCGUUCCGCUUGCACGACAUAUCCUGUUCUCCGUCCAGGAAGUUGGCCACCAGCUCAGGCGCAUCGGGAAUCAGAAACUCGAAGUUGCUGUAUAGUGAGAUAAUCAGACACAUGAACAGAAUAGCAAUUAAAAGAUCAUUGGUUGGUAAUAAAAAUAAUGACUCAUGUAAGUUA